UCGUAACAAUGGAACGUCUGGGUUCAAGAAGUUUGUCCUCGCGUUUUACGAUUUCUUAAGCUCGUGAUUUAAGGAAUUCAUUAAAAUUACUUGGCUAAGUGGAACAAUAGCUUCUCCUUAUUAGACGAUCACUUAUGUUCCACAUAAUGCUAGUGUAAUAGUGUAUAGUUUCAAUGAGAGAAAGCCGCACAUUGUUUUUUGUAACAAUAAACGCGACAUUGGAUGAAAAGAUGAAUCGAUUUCGGGCUGAAUAAGGAAUGUAAUAAUUUAACGUUGGCUGAUAUUUAUUCACCGUUUUGUGAAUGCCGCGCGACGCAGAAAAUAAUAAUUGGAGUCUUAUCAUCAGUAAUUUCACAAAUUAUUGUAAUGACACGGAAAGACGAAAGGAUUUAUUGCGAUUGAAAAGAUAAAGCGGCUGUUGUGUAAUACCGUGUAACGAGGGUCUUCUACUCGAGGAAAUUACACAAGCUGUUCAAUAUUUAAGCGCAAUUCGGAAUCGGAGGCAGCGACUACCGAUGACAGUCGAGAACAUCGUCGAAUGAACAGCAGAAACGAUGGAAAGUGAAGCAAGGAUCAGGUUUCCUACUUUUUCCAACGAAUGCUCCGAAUACUCGCCGUGAAUAGUCGAACUGUGAAACGUUAGCCUUCGAGGUUUUAGUAACUUCGCUCAGAGACUGAAACCCUUGAAUGAGGAAUGGAUAUAGCAAAAUUCAGACGACGCAAAUAAAUUAUGAUAAACCGAUUUCACUGCGUUGGCCGUGGCUAAAAUACGACAGACAUCAAUUUCGGAACGAUUACGACACGAUGAGUAUUUCAACUGGUUGGUACGUCAUAAUUCACGAGUCGACGGUACCGCGAGAGAUAAGAAUCGAUGGGACCCGGAUAUUCAACUUAAUUGAGAUCCCGCACGUCGUACCAUUAUUUAAUUAUGCAAUGAACACAAUACCGUGUCAGCAAUUAAACAGGAAAUCGCUUCACCGCGUCGUCGUUUGAUAUUGCCGAGCGACGGAGCGCGAAACGGCGAGAUGGUAUUUAAUUAAUGCUUUGUGGUGUUCUAUGGAAACUCCGCGCCUCAAUGAAAUGAUUCCCAAUUAAUUAAUAUCUAAUAACUCGGUUCUCUCACUGGUCCAUUUCAUUAAACGAUUAAUGAGGUACGCUAAAGAAUGUCAAAACAUCUGCCACGUACAAUCCUCUGAAAUCCUUUAGUAUAAAUUAUUGUGAAGUUCAAUCGAAAUUUCCAUAAUUAAUUCUCGAAUUAAAUUCGUUUAAACGUCGACUGCGAAACAAGAACGCCGCUUCGGUUAACGGAAACAGCAUGAAGAUUUAUGCGUUUUACAUGAAGAUUAAUUAUGAAUUUGAUAGGUUUUUCGCGAUGGAUUUUCUAACGUUGGGUACAGAAAUUAAUCAAAACCGCUACGAGAGGUAACAAACUCGCAUCGAAGCCUGAAGUCUGGCAGCGACAGAGUGCUUUCGACAGGCGUUCUUGGACAAAUGAAAUUAAGAUUUCCCUCGCGAACGACGUUAUUAUGAAACUAUAAGGACCGGUGGAAGUGAUCGGCGUGUCGGCGAGCCCUGGAGAGCAACGUCGAAUUUACGGUUUCCACUUACGCUUUUCUCGUUUCAAUAACGGGCUCGAACAUUAUUUAGUAGCCGACGGAUUAAAAGUUGGAGCACAUCCAACGACGGACGAGUCGCCGCGUCUUCCCAGGAAACGGUCUUCCUAGUUUAAUAAAGGUACGAUGUUCCCGCUGCUGGAAAUUAUUUGCUUGCGAUUAGGUUCUUUCAGCGAGGGAAAAUUAAGACUGAACUGUCGCUUCAACAGCGUUUUGUAUUAAUUAAGAGUUGAAUAAAAGGA